AUUGAACGCUGGCGGCAUGCCUUACACAUGCAAGUCGAACGGCAGCACGGGAGCAAUCCUGGUGGCGAGUGGCGAACGGGUGAGUAGUGUAUCGGGACGUGCCCAGUCGUGGGGGAUAACGUAGCGAAAGCUACGCUAAUACCGCAUACGAUCUGUGGAUGAGAGCGGGGGACCGUAAGGCCUCGCGCGAUUGGAGCGGCCGAUAACAGAUUAGGUAGUUGGUGGGGUAAAGGCCUACCAAGCCGACGAUCUGUAGCUGGUCUGAGAGGACGACCAGCCACACUGGGACUGAGACACGGCCCAGACUCCUACGGGAGGCAGCAGUGGGGAAUUUUGGACAAUGGGCGCAAGCCUGAUCCAGCAAUGCCGCGUGCAGGAUGAAGGCCUUCGGGUUGUAAACUGCUUUUGUACGGAGCGAAAAGGCUCUCUCUAAUACAGGGGGCUCAUGACGGUACCGUAAGAAUAAGCACCGGCUAACUACGCGCCAGCCGCCGCGGUAA
rnacentral:rRNA from 1 species